UACCAGACUGAGACCAGUUUCUCUAGCUUCAGGACACAAGAGGUUUCUAAAACAGAGAGCCACAGGUAUCAGGACACCUAGAAAAGAUUUUCCUGCUUAUGUGCUCGGACAGCAUGUUUCUCCUCAGAUCAACAGAGAGGGGACAAAAUAUAGCAAAUAAAAACACAUAUCAAACACAGUUACAUUUAAACUUUAUACAGCAACAUGAAACUAGAAUACCUUUGCUGUAUAAAAUGGCUUGUACAUUUUGUGUGUUACACACACAAACUGACCUUAUUGUUCACUUCUUUUCCUCCCCAAGUUUCUGACCUGCCCCUCUCUGGUGCCUGGUUUGAACCCUGAAGCAACGCUGGACCCAGAACAACCCCAACACCCUCUGGGAUCAGGGCUCUCACAUGUCUCCAGACAUACUCACUGGCAGCCAAAGAGCCCGGAUUCCACAGGUGGCAUGGAUCUGACCCAGUGGACUAUCCUUGUAACCACUUUGUCAUCCCGUUAGUGCCCAACUCUUGAAACAUAAGAACCUAAGAAUUGCCAUUUACUGACUCAGACCAGAAAGCCAACUUGCCCAGUAUUUUGUGUCAAAGUGGCAGAGAGUGUAUGCUGAAAAGGAGAGUGAACUGGGUUAUGACCAGGGUUUUGUUUUUUUUCCUGCUGUUUCUCUCUCAUUUGCAGCCACCAGCCUUUAAGGUCUAGGAAGUUAUAAUUUAGAGGCUCUAUUGCUAACUCCCAUAGGAAACAAACAUCCCAGGGAAAAAGGUGAUAGUGCAUCACUGCAGGGAAACUGAGAGAAGGACACAUGGACAGCUUUGACCAGGAGAGGAGUCUGGGGUGCAGCAACUUGGGGUGGCAGCAAUUGAUUCUGGAGCCUACUCACAUUAAGGUUUGUCUUCUGCUGUGGUGAGAAAGAGUUAGAAGAGCUCUCUGCAUUAGAACUUCCUAUACCUUAAAUGCUGGAGGUUGAAAGUGAGAAGAAUGGAGAAAAAAACAAAUCCUAGUCAUACCCAGUUUACUUCCUUUUUCAGCAUCCACUCUGCCACUGUGUGACAUGGGAUUCUGGGCAAAAUGGACCAGCAAAGGGCAAUUCUUAUGAUCUAAUGUUUAAGGGAUAUUAUCCUCAAGGCAGAACUGCAUCUGUGUUGCAUCCCAUGGCACACAGAAUGCACCAUCAGCACUUAGGGAAGCCCGACCACACCACAGAACGCUGGGGCACUGAAUGCUGACCUGUUUAUUCCCAAUGGGCUCCAUGUAUGGACCACACAGGCUGUUUUCAACUGAGUAAAAGUGGAAUUGCUAGAUGCAGACUUUUUUUUCAAUAUAGCUAUGGAAGUGCCACACAAAGAUGAUGAGUGAAGUCCUGCAAAUAUUCCCCACUACAAAGCCCACCCCUCCGUCUGCAGAUAAAGUCUCCUAUGAAGCCUUCAUGUAAAAUACCAGUUUUCCUCACAACAAGCAGACUUGUGAGUUCAGAGAUUCAGUUUAAAUACUGGAGCCUUUAUUACCUUCAUUGUUUAGAAGAUGUUUCUCCAUCAGUCAUUAUUCUGAUGCCACACAAUGUGCCACAAGCAUGUUUACCUAGCUGCUGCUGAAGUGACUGCAAGGGAGUGCGGAAGCAACCCAAGCUAGCAUUAAACUGCCCAACUUAGAUAUUGUCCACAGCAACAGAGGUGCAUGAGUAGGGCAAAACAGGAGGUGCUGAGCUCAUACUCCACAUCCAGGCUCAGGCUGUUUGCAGAGAUGCCCACAUUCUACUUCCAAUUUCACAGCUCCAGGGUUGUGGUGAUGUGUACUGGCACAGCCAGCUGAGGACGUUAACUUCCCAGUUCACAGUAACUGCCACAGCCAGUGAACUGAUUCUGGAUGAACUCUGGUUCAGGAUAAAACAGAUCCUGGCCAAUUUCCCCAUUACAAAUCAGUGAACACUGAACAAUUAAAGGCAAGCUUGACGUUGUGGACAUGCUGGUUACGUCCAUUUUAAUAUGUAAAUGCUGCACUAUUCCAGCUUAGCAAAAUGUCACUGUGGGUUCUGUUCCCCUGACUCUCUAAGACAC